AAUGACACUGUUGGAGUAAUAUUUAAUGUAUUAUUACAUACCUCAUUCUACCCUAUAAAUACAUUCAUAUGUCUUCACAAUUUUUAAACACCAAAGCUAGAAUAACAGUUUAUAACAAACAGAGCUACUGAAAUUUUCUGUCAGCAGAUUGAGCUCAAACAUGAAAAAAUAGUUGGUGUGUUCUUGCUGUUCCCACCAUGGCUGGCCAAUUUAUACUUGGUCUUCAACAGCAGAAUCAGACUGCGUUGUGUGCGUACCUAUGUAGUCACUGAAACCAAGCCACAAAGAAUUGUUAGAAGUCAAGAGUGAUACUGUUUCAGGAGAUGGUGUGGCAGAUUCUGGGGAAUUCUUUGUUAGUGAUGGUGAAGACUGUUUAGGCUGAGGAUCAUUCUCAAGGUUCUGAUUUUGAAAAGGUUACUGGAUUGGAUGAUUUUGAUGAGGAUUUAGGAGACGGUUCUGCUGUUCUGCCUCUAUAGAGGUGUCUAUUGAAGGAGUUUGUUUCCACUGGAGGUUCUAAGAAAGUUAAGGAUGUUGUUGUCAAGGAGAAGUAGUUUGCUUGUAGUUCUGAAAGGGGAUUUAGUAGUGGUAAGUACUAUCUUUUUGCUGGUUCUGAUAAUUUAUUUUGGGUUUUUUGGGAUGAUCAAUAUCAGGAAUUGUGGUUAGUUAUUGGUGUUGUGUUAUUCAGUACAAUGUAGGCUUUUGGGUGUUUUGCUGUUUUGCUUAUGUAUGUGCAUUGUACUGUGUAUGGUCUUUUUAAAUGAAGAUAUUUAGUUAUGUUAU